UACGAAGGGGGCUAGCGUUGCUCGGAAUCACUGGGCGUAAAGCGCACGUAGGCGGAUCUUUAAGUCAGGGGUGAAAUCCCAAGGCUCAACCUUGGAACUGCCUUUGAUACUGGGGAUCUCGAGUCCGGAAGAGGUUGGUGGAACUGCGAGUGUAGAGGUGAAAUUCGUAGAUAUUCGCAAGAACACCAGUGGCGAAGGCGGCCACCUGGACGGAUACUGACGCUGAGACGCGAAAGCGUGGGAUAGCAAACGAGGA
rnacentral:rRNA from 1 species